rnacentral:rRNA from 1 species
GACGAGGGGUCCAAGCGUUGUUCGGAAUCAUUGGGCGUAAAGCGGGUGUAGAUGGUUCUAUAAGUCAGGAGUGAAAGCCCCGAGCUUAACUUGGGAAGUGCUCUUGAUACUGUAGAACUUGAGUGUGGGAGAGGAUCGUGGAAUUCCAGGUGUAGUGGUGAAAUACGUAGAUAUCUGGAGGAACACCGGUGGCGAAGGCGGCGAUCUGGCCCAACACUGACACUGAGACCCGAAAGCGCGGGGAUCAAACAGG